UACGUAGGGGGCAAGCGUUGUCCGGAUUUAUUGGGCGUAAAGAGCGUGUAGGCGGCUAGGUAGGUCCGUUGUGAAAACUCGAGGCUCAACCUCGAGACGCCGGUGGAAACUGCAAAGCUAGAGUCCGGAAGAGGAGAGUGGAAUUCCGUGGUGUAGCGGUGAAAUGCGCAGAUAUCAGGAAGAACACCCGUGGCGAAGGCGGCUCUCUGGGACGGUACUGACGCUGAGACGCGAAAGCGUGGGGAGCGAACAGG
rnacentral:rRNA from 1 species